CACCUUGCGUCUACAGCCCGCGCGACUCGCACAAGGCUGAUGGCUGGUGGCUUUUGCCACCGGCCU
rnacentral:sRNA from 1 species